AACGAACGCUGGCGGCAGGCUUAACACAUGCAAGUCGAGCGCCCCGCAAGGGGAGCGGCAGACGGGUGAGUAACGCGUGGGCAUCUACCCAUCUCUACGGAAUAACGCAUGGAAACGUGUGCUAAUACCGUAUACGUCCUUCGGGAGAAAGAUUUAUCGGAGAUGGAUGGGCCCGCGUUGGAUUAGCUAGUUGGUGGGGUAAAGGCCUACCAAGGCCACGAUCCAUAGCUGGUCUGAGAGGAUGGUCAGCCACACUGGUACUGGGACACGGGCCAGAAUCCUACGGGAGGCAGCAGUGGGGAAUAUUGGACAAUGGGGGCAAGCCUGAUCCAGCCAUGGCGCGUGAGUGAUGAAGGCCCUAGGGUUGUAAAGCUCUUUCACCGGUGAAGAUAAUGACGGUAACCGGAGAAGAAGCCCCGGCUAACUUCGUGCCAGCAGCCGCAGUAACAC
rnacentral:rRNA from 1 species